rnacentral:rRNA from 1 species
UACAGAGGUCUCAAGCGUUGUUCGGAUUCAUUGGGCGUAAAGAGCGUGUAGGCGGCCAGGUAGGUCUGCUGUGAAAACUCGAGGCUCAACCUCGAGACGUCGGCGGAAACCAUCUGGCUAGAGUCCGGAAGAGGAGAGUGGAAUUCCCGGUGUAGCGGUGAAAUGCGCAGAUAUCGGGAGGAACACCGGUGGCGAAGGCGGUUCUCUGGGCCUGUACUGACGCUGAGGAGCGAAAGCGUGGGGAGCGAACAGG